GCUCCAUGUCGUGGACCGUGGACACACUCUGCUGGCUGGAAGAGCCCCGCGGCCACCACCAGGUGUCCCCACAGAAGGCCGAAGGCCCUGCCCGUUCCCUCACCAGACAGCACUCUGCUAGCCUCGCUCCUUCCGGAGCUGAAGGCAGGUUUUGGCUGCUGAGAAGAGCUCUCACAGCCAGUGCACAGCCUCCUGCCCCAUGGCAUCCCACCGUCAGGACACAACAUAGGGCUGGUGAGGAUACGUGCCUGGCUUUCUGUGGGGCUGGUUGGAGAUGUGGAGGAAUCAGCAGGACCACUCCUCUGCUGAAAGAGGACCAAGUGCUCUCAGGCACAGAGAUCACUGCCCUCCCUCUGAUACGGCCCACUGAAAUGCCCUUCCUUGGGAGGGAUCCACUGAAGGCCCACUCUGGGCAAGUGUGCAGGAUACUUGCUUAGAUCGUCAGUCUGUUAGUGUUAAGCAACAUUUCUAAUAAAGGCAGCACGGAAACGUCAAUUAACUUCAUGACAGCUAAGCUCUAGGUUCACUCUCCUAGGUGGGCAUUGCUAUUUUCCGUCAAGGGCAGUUAGGCAUUGAGGUACCUGAUACUGCUUAUACCAAAUCCGACUUUAUAUGUCCCAAGUGAUGAAGUUGUGAUUAAAUUUGCUUCCACAGAUUUAAUAGAUGUCAGGUUGUCUUAUUAUUUGUUUUAAAUUUGCUUGUCCUUCCUCUUCUGGCUUAGUACUUUGCCUAUUUACAUUUUGCUGAGUUGUGUAUGUUUAGCAUCUUUACACCUAUUAUAUUAGAAUGAAUUAGUUCUUCAGUUAGUAAAUAGCACAAGGCACUGUGCAAAAGCACAUGCUGGUCUGUUUGAAAUAAUCCUUAGAUUUUUGGUUAUCAAUUCCUAUUUCCUACUGUAUUGUAGCAUAUUUUCCCUAAAUUAGCCAGUCAGAUGUGGAAGAACAAUGAAGGAACUAAUUCCUGCAAACUGGCUGUUGUGGACAUUGUUGAACCCUUCUGCAAUAAAAACUGAAGCUGAAAAAA